UACGAAGGGUGCAAGCGUUAAUCGGAAUUACUGGGCGUAAAGGGUGCGUAGGCGGUUUGUUAAGUCUGUCGUGCAAUCCCCAGGCUCAACCUGGGAACUGCAUCCGAGACUGGAAGGCUAGAGUACUGGAGAGGGUGGUGGAAUUCCUCGUGUAGCGGUGAAAUGCGUAGAGAUGAGGAGGAACACCAGUGGCGAAGGCGGACACAUGGACAGUAACUGACGCUGAGGCGCGAAAGCGUGGGUAGCAAACAGG
rnacentral:rRNA from 1 species